ACUCAAAGGAAUUGACGGGGAGCCGCACAAGCAGUGGAGCGUGUUGUUUAAUUCGAUGGUAAGCGAAGAACCUUACCAAGGCUUGACUUCCUAGGAAUUUUGGCGAAAGCCAGAAGUGCCUUCGGGAACCUAGUGACAGGUGUUGCAUGGCCGUCGUCAGCUCGUGUCGUGAGAUGUUUGGUUAAGUCCAUCAACGAGCGCAACCCUUAUGAUUAGUUGAAUUUUUCUAAUCAGACUGCCCCGGUAACGGGGAGGAAGGAGGGGAUGAUGUCAGGUCUGUAUUACCCUUACGCCUUGGGCGACAAACGCGCUACAAUGGCCGGUACAACGGGCAGCCAAGCCGCAAGGCGGAGCAAAUCCCAUCAAAGCCGGUCCCAGUUCGGAUUGCAGGCUGAAACUCGCCUGCAUGAAGUUGGAAUUGCUAGUAAUCGCAGAUCAGAAUGCUGCGGUGAAUACGUUCCCGGCUCUUGUACACACCGCCCGU
rnacentral:rRNA from 1 species